rnacentral:rRNA from 1 species
UCUGGUGGCGAUAGCGAGAAGGUCACACCCGUUCCCAUACCGAACACGGAAGUUAAGCUUCUCAGCGCCGAUGGUAGU